GCCGCGGCGUACGGCAGGUGCGUGCAGGCCUCCACGGCCCCAGGCGGCCGCCUGAGCAAGGACCUCUGCGUGCGGGAGUUCGAGGCCCUGCGGAGCUGCUUCGCCGCCGCGGUUUGAGCGCCUGCCGCGUGCUUUAGACGCCGGCUGACCAAACCACCGAGCCACCGAUGAGCCCGCGAAACCUCGGCCGUCCCAGGCUUGUCCCUGCGUGUUUGUAAACCGGGACUGGCACCAACGUCAGAAAGGAUGGGAAAUGUGUGCACUAAAGCGCCUGGUAAAACGCGCCAAGAAGACGCUGGAGCGAGGCUGUUAGGAGGGACUCUGAGCUUCACACCUGUCUGCUGCUGUGGGUGCGGUGCCCUCGUCCUGAUGGCCCCUGGUGGCACACAUUGAAUGCCUAGGGCAGAAAGGAAGUGGGAAUGGCGAAGAUGUGACGUUCCUGGGUGUUAGAUCCUGUGUUUCUUCUUCUUAACAAGUUGAGGCGUGGGUAGAGCAGGAAUUGGUUUUCCAGUGUUGUGUCUGUAAAUCUGAGUUAGAAUAAGAUGUAAUGGAAGCCACGAUAAAGACUCCGUCAAGUCCUGCA